rnacentral:rRNA from 1 species
UACGUAGGGUGCGAGCGUUGUCCGGAAUUACUGGGCGUAAAGAGCUCGUAGGUGGUUUGUCGCGUUGUUCGUGAAAACCGGGGGCUUAACCCUCGGCGUGCGGGCGAUACGGGCAGACUUGAGUACUGCAGGGGAGACUGGAAUUCCUGGUGUAGCGGUGAAAGUGCGCAGAUAUCAGGAGGAACACCGGUGGCGAAGGCGGGUCUCGUGGGCCGAUACUGACGCUGAGGAGCGAAAGCGUGGGGAGCGAACAGG